rnacentral:rRNA from 1 species
UACGUAGGGACCGAGCGUUGUCCGGAAUCAUUGGGCGUAAAGAGCGUGUAGGCGGCCAAUUAAGUCCUGCGUGAAAUCUCGGGGCUCAACCCCCGAGCGGUCGUGGGAAACUGGUUGGCUAGAGUGCGGGAGAGGAGAGUGGAAUUCCUGGUGUAGCGGUGAAAUGCGCAGAUAUCAGGAAGAACACCCGUGGCGAAGGCGGCUCUCUGGAACGCAACUGACGCUGAGACGCGAAAGCGUGGGGGAGCAAACAGG